rnacentral:rRNA from 1 species
AGUGAACGCUGGCGGUAGGCCUAACACAUGCAAGUCGAACGGCAGCACAGGAGAGCUUGCUCUCUGGGUGGCGAGUGGCGGACGGGUGAGGAAUACAUCGGAAUCUACCUUUUCGUGGGGGAUAACGUAGGGAAACUUACGCUAAUACCGCAUACGACCUUCGGGUGAAAGCAGGGGACCUUCGGGCCUUGCGCGGAUAGAUGAGCCGAUGUCGGAUUAGCUAGUUGGCGGGGUAAAGGCCCACCAAGGCGACGAUCCGUAGCCGGUCUGAGAGGAUGAUCAGCCACACUGGAACUGAGACACGGUCCAGACUCCUACGGGAGGCAGCAGUGGGGAAUAUUGGACAAUGGGCGCAAGCCUGAUCCAGCCAUACCGCGUGGGUGAAGAAGGCCUUCGGGUUGUAAAGCCCUUUUGUUGGGAAAGAAAAGCAGCCAGUUAAUACCUGGUUGUUCUGACGGUACCCAAAGAAUAAGCACCGGCUAACUUCGUGCCAGCAGCCGCGGUAA